CAUCAAUUGAUUUUUUUUCAUUUUAAAGUCUAUAAUUGCUCAGAAAUUUCCGUGUUUGCAUCAGGUUCCAUGAUAGCUCUUUAUUAUUUUAAUGUUUAAAAAUUAUAAUUUCUAAUUUCUCAUUGAGCUAGUAAGCAAAGAUUAAUUUCACUAUUUUACUUUUGGCAUAAUUUAAGUUGAAAUAAUUAUCAAAUGUCAAUAUCAGGAUCCUCGAAGGCUUCUUAUUGAUGAAUUUGUGAUCAGCAUCAAGGACUACACCUCUUCUGUUUCAGGGCAUGCUUCUCCUUCUGGAAUCUUGUUGUUUUCUGUGAGUUGAUACUCUUUUAUAUAACUUGUUCUGAGGCUCUUGUAAAUUCAGCUGGUUUGUCUUUAUCUGAUGAAAUUCGCAUGUGCUUAUAUUAUUUUGUCUGCCAGCCUAACUUUUUUCUAAGUUUCUAAACCCUGGCCUCUUAAAUUUAAUUUUCCUUUCACUCUCAACUUGGCUUUAACAACUUUCUCUUGCGUAGUUCACCAACAAAAGUGGACACCAAAUUGUUUUUACAACUUAUUGGGCACCUUCGUCCGUUUUUUGCAAAAGGACCAAAGGAAGCACUUCAAUACUUGAAGACAAGUUGACAAACAUCUAGUCAAAGGGCAAUGUGAACUUGUUAUAAUAUUUAAGAAGCAUCUAUGUACUUUAUAUUCCAAAAUUUUUUCUUCUCAAAUUUGUUUCUUACAUGGGAAUCAAUGAUGUUCUAGGACCAAGCAACUGACAUCAAACCUGUGCUUCAAAAGUUGGGUGAGUAACAAAAUUACAUCCAUAGUUAUGUUGAAAUGGUAAAAUGUUCAAGAAAGUGAAACAGAGGAUCAGAACUUGGUACUUGCUGACUACCAUAAACAGCCGAACCUGCACUUUUAUCUUUGAGGUUUUAUAAGAAUUUGAGAUGUAUAUUUUUUGCUGCUCUUUGCUUCUUGUCUGUAGAUUAUGCCUUUUCCUUGGACACUGUCAUUGUGGGUGAUGGGGGUAGUAAAUUCUUAUGUAGAAGUGAUGACGGAAACUAUGCCACCAGGGUUCCCGCAGUUGCUCUUCUGUUUGUGAACGAAAGGGACAGGUCUCCAGGUGAGUUUAUUUUUCACUUCAUCCCUAAAAGCAACAUUUAGUGUUAAAUACCACAGAAUUGAAAUUGUUAAUAUGUCAGCUGUCAAGAAAGUGUUAUGUGCCACUAGGUAAAGUGUUCUUUCUUUGUUCUUUGCUGGGUUAAUUAAUACCAACACCUCCUAUUCUGGUUACAUGCCAAUGUGCAGGUAUAGGGGAAACUAAAUUUCAUGUCAUGAUAUCAACUGGCCUAUCACCACUUGGUUCCACAUAUAAGGCAGUAUCUGUUAAAUGCAAUGAAACUUCAACAUGGCUUACUGCCAUCAGAGACACACUUCAUGAAGAUCUUGAUGGCCAAAGUAUUUUAGACGAGAUCUAUGAUGAGGUAUCAACAUUCAAACUUUACCACUAUCGGUAGUUACUCUAACCAGGUGAAGUAAAUGUGGUUUCAUGUAAUGGAAGUGGUUGGCAUGUUUUGGCAUUAGUGGAAGAACUUGUGGCUUGACACAUUAGUGGUAGAGCAAAUUUUGUAAUAAGCUGCCAAUUCAUUGAAUCAGGUGACAGUAAUUGCCCUUCUUUCUCAAAAUAAAUGAAAUAUUCAAUACAACUCUUCCUUUUGAUAAUCACUCGUUACUAUAUAGAUGCUUGAAAUUUAAACAAGUAAUUACCAUCUUUUUUGUCCCAUUUAUUAUUGAGUCGUCAAAAGUCUGUAUUCUGCACUAUUUUUUCAGAUACUUGCUGAAAUAUUCUUUCUGUUUUUUCUAAUAUCUGUAAUUCACAACAGCUUGGAGAUCGUAUUCAAUUUCCUGUUUUCUACCUAGGAGUAACGAAAAGAAGGAGGUGCUCGGUUGGGCCGGAAAAAGUAAGACGAAUAACAUUUCAUGAAUUCCAUGAAGUUAUGGGGUAAGUUGCCCUUGCUCAUGAUCUCUUUUUCUUGAUAUUCACCAUCGUCACUCAAGGAAUUGAACAUUGAAUUAUGAAUUGGUUGUGAUUGUCGAUAAAUGUCGUAUACAAACCAUUUGAAAUGUCAAAGUUACAAGUUUAGGUAGCCUGUUCAAUAUUUGGUCUGGGAUUAGAUUGAAUGAGUUAUGAAAUCAGUGUUUGUGAGGAAGUAUGAUGGAGUAUAUCAAAAACAACGUGUUAAGUACAUUGCUUUUGCUCUCUACACACAAUGUGUAUCAAUUAAAAGAAUGUAACCGAGACAAAUUUCUGUGAGCUCAAUUUCGGUAGUCAAACAUCUAAUUUACUUGCCCAUGCCCCAACAAACAUUACAUUAUAAGGAGAAACAUUAUGUCUGCAUGUAAUAACUAAUAAGGUUACAUUUUUCUCAGGGGGAGCACUUUUCAGGAUUACUUGUGCAUUUUCCAAUGUCUGGCAUGCUAAAGAACAAUUAGUUACCAUAAAUUCCUGGUUUUGAAGUAAAACCAAGACAAUUUGGUGGAUGAGAAUGUUCUCUUUUGUCCCUCUCCAUCAACUAGUUGAAAUAAAAUAAAGCUAAUGUUGAUAAUAUUCGAUACUAAUAUUUUUACGGGAUUUAAACUUUUGAGCAUGUUAUGAUGCCUAAAAGAUGAAUUUCGCAAUCUAUCUAUGUAGUUGGUAUGAUGACAAAUUAGCUGGUUAAAAAAUCUACAUUUUUCUUAUUUCCGUUUAGCAUAUGGCUACAUCAACCCGAAGAUUCUAAGCUGUAUCUUUUUUCCUUCCUUUAUGACCAGUGCAAGAAAUGAGUUUGUGUUCUCUUGUUUGUCAGUGGAAAUGAAGAGUAUCUAUUUGUCAAAUCUGACGGAAUUAAAUCUGGAGAUAUCUUUUGCUUUUACCUCUCGGAUUCUAAAGCUGCAUUAUCUUCUUGCAAUGAAGUCUCUGAUAAACUCAGACAUUUGAAGCUAGAUAGUUGUAACUACACAGACGACCGUGCUGGUGGCAGUGUCACUAAGAGGGAAGUCUUUGGUGGCAUCAUCUUCUCUUGCUGUGGUCGAGGUGACUCGUUUUUUGGACAACAGGGUAUUGACAGUUCGACUUUUCUGGAGAACUUUCCAGGGGUUACUUUUGGAGGAACUUAUUGCAAUGGGGAAAUUGGACGGGGAAAUUUGAGCUUGUACGGGCAAGGCAAUGAAGAAGGUGGCGAUGCACGUUGCUCUUGGCACGCCUUUAGCGCUGUCUACCUAAUCAUGUCGUAUACUCCUCCACUGCCGCAGGGUAAGAUUGUGAGCUCCGAACCUGGUUGUUCGAGUUCAAACCGAUAGUUUGUGGAUUUUGAGCACAGAACUGACAUGAGAAUAUGAUCUGUUGAUCUUGUUAUGCUUGUACCGGAGUACCUACAACCUUGUUAUUUUGAAAGAAAUCGAACAAUAACUAUAUGUAUUGCCGUAUUGACUUUUGAAUAUGAAUUUACUGAAAUAAUGCAGUGUUCUCGAUGAGACUGAUCAGUUUGGCUUAUUUCUAAAACAUUUAGCUAAUUCAUGGAAAUUUAUCUUUCACAUUUUCAAACAGAAGGAAAGAGAGAGAAAACAAUGUUGUCUUAACAAAGUACUUCCCCUCUUGUUGGAGUAUCAGAGUCAUCAAUAUAUUAUCUACAUUGAUAAUUUUGUGAUAGACUUUCAAGAAAAAGGAGAAUUUGAACAAAAUAAUACAAUUAAGGGGCCGUUUGGGAGGGAUUUUGAGAAUUGAUUUUUUGACCGUUAGAAGAAAAGUGAGGUCCACCUGUGAGAGAAGAAGUCAAAAAUUACGACUGAAAUAGUGAAAUAACGGUCAAAAAAUCAAUUUUUUAGAGUAAAAAACCCUCCCAAACAUGCUGUAAAUCUUAUUUUGUGGUUUCUCCACCAUCGAGAGGCAUCACUUCAACUUGCUUGGGCUUCUUAUCUUUAUUUGCAUGCUUUUUCGAAUGGAAAUUGACACACGUACUUGGAAAUUUUCGAGUUUAAUGGAAUAUAGAUUUUUCAACUUCCCAUAAAUCCAAAUUUGCCUAAUGAUCUCCCGUAAAUUUAAGACAAUUUUUUCCAUAUAACUCUCACGAUAUUUAUGAAGGACGUGAACAUGCAAAAAUGUGUGAAAAUUUUGAAUAUUUAGAUAUGGAUCACACAAAGCAAACUUUAUUGGCAAUUUAUACAAAGUACUAAACAUAUAUAGACCUGUCCGGAAUAAAAAUGUCACAAUUCAAUUAGUGACUCAAAUAAUUGAAACAUUAAAACAAUAGCAGUCAAUUAAAAGCAACAUUUAUUCAUGUAUAAAUGAAAAUUUAAUAAUGCAAAUUUCGAAAUCUAGGUUUCAUCUCCAUCCUAGUGCAUAUAAAAUUAGCCACCAUCAUCGAGUUGUUUGAACACAAAUUUGAGUGGUAAAACAUUACCAGAAUUUGAAAUAAUAAAAGAAAAAUAGAAGAUUAAUGUGAACUCCAGAAUAUUUUCAAUUGAACUUGAAUCAUCUUCUUUCUCCUCUUUGCUUAAAUUUCAAGAACCUUACCUCAGGUGAUUCACAUAUUGCGCAUUUAUCGAUGAUUUUCUAAUUUUAAAAGGGAGAUUUUUUCUUUAUAGACUUAUUUCAUACCAUGGUUCGGGCGUUCAAAAUUUGUGAGGUUACCCAAAUUGGAUGAACUUUCAUUGCAAAAUUAUUAUGUUUUUACAAAAUCUGAUUUUUGAAAAUUUCAAAAAUCAGAUUCAAGGUUUAUUUUUCCACAAGUCAAGUGAUAAAUCAAUUUUUAAUUUUAAAUAAUAGUAUUAUAAAUUUAAAUUAAUAUACCUACCUACCCACCAUACCCUGCCUAGCCCCAACCCAUUUCACUCCAAACCAAUUUCAUUUUCUUCUUCUUUAUCUCUUUACCCAUGAGUGGGGCAAGCUCUUCUAUUCUGGUUCAUGGUUUCUCUUGGCUAUAUGGUUCAUUCGGGGGAGAGAUCCAUAAUUUCUCUACUUUAUUUUCUUCUAUUUGAAUAAUUCUUCUCAAACAGCCUCCUCCUACUUUUCUUCCUCGUCAUUGACACUUCAACCAGCAAGAAAACUGGCAGCGUAUAAUGGCAUUUAAUGGCCGCUGUGCACAAGAACUGAGUGUGGGGAAUUGUGAGGGCGACGACACAGGCGCUCAAGUUGCCACUGAGUGGAACGAUCUGCGCGCGAGGCUUAGUUUGAUGCAUAGCGGAGCACACUGCGGAGAAUUGAGUGCCAUUGUGUGUGGCUAAUUCAGAGCGUCGCACAUAGCGAUGAUGUGACAAUAUUUGUGAUAGUUUUGUGGUGGCUUUUAAGUUGGUAUUAUGUUGGUGGCGGUGGUGAUGGUCACAUAUUCAUAGAGUGUUAUGUCAAAUGUUGUGUUGAUAUCUGCUAGUAGUGUCGGUGGUAGUGAUAGGUUACAUGUACUAGGUCACAGGUAAUUGUGCAUUGGUCAUAGAUAAAUGUCCACAAGCCUUAGAUCAUGUUUACAUGUCACAAGUCAUACAUGUCAUGGGUUAUCCUCCAUAGGCCAUAGGUCUCACACACACACACGUCACAUAUUAAUAUCAACAUGUGCACUGAUAACAAGUCACAAAUUCAAGUUCACAAAUCUCAGCUCAUAUGUUACAUGUUAUAGGUUAGGGAUGUAAACGAGUCGGGUCGAGCCGGCUCGCGAGCUAAAAUUUCGGCUCGGGCUCGGCCUGGUUAAAAAUACCGAGUUUUUUUGUGAGCUCGAGUCGGGCCGAGCUCUCGGCCCGAGCUUUUGCUCGGGCUUUUUACGGGCCGAGCCGGGCAAGCUCGUUUUUUUUUCUCUCUCUCUCUCUCUCUCUUUUUUUUAUAUUAAAAAGCUCGCGAACUCACGGGCCGACUCGGGCAAAGCCCGUGUCCCCAAAAUGGGGCUCGGCCCGAGCUUAGGCUCGGGUCUAUCGAGCCCCGAGUCGAGCCGAAUCGGGCUUUUCCCGAGCCUAGCCACGGGCGGCCCGAGCCGGCGAGCCCGAUUGCCAUCCCUAUUAUAGGUUAAAGUUCACAGGUCAUAUUGUAUAGGUAACAAAUCAAUGUCCACAGAUCACAUGUCAUAGUGCAUAGAUCACAGGUCACAAAUUGAAGAGAACCGAUCUCAGGCUAUUAAUUUCUCCAACCACAGUUGUUAAAGUUUCCUUCAAAAUUUUUGAUACACAUUGAUAAUAACUUUUAGUUUGUGACUUCAAUCAUCCGGCGGGUUUAAUUAACUAGAUUUCGACAGUGAGAAUUGAAGUUAUUUGCUCCAAUGAGUUCUCUGUAACUUUUUCUUUGUUCGAUCUUAUGAUACACAGUGCUGACAACUUUCAAUCUGUGACCUCAAUCGUUCGGCGGGUUUUAAUUAACUAGAUUUCGACGAUGAGAAUUGAAGUUAUUGCUCCAACGAGAUCUUUGUAGAUUCUAUUUUCGUUUGAUCUUCCGAUACACAAUGUAGACAACUUCGAAUUUGUGACCUCAAUAGUUCAAUUGGUUUCAAUUAACCAGAUUCUGGUGAUGGGAAUUGAUGUUAUUUGCUUCGACGAGUACUCUGUAAUUUUCGAUUUGUUCAAACAUUGUUGUUAAAAUGGAGUCUUGUCUAGAAUGGAAACAUAUGUAACUGAAUGUUUGAUUUUAGGAAUUAAAACCUAAUUUAAUAUAUGUGUGUGUAAUUGAAUUAUUAAAUUUUGUUUCUUAAAAAUGAAAAUUUUCGUCUUUCUACGUAAUGAAUCUUAUUAUUUACAAUCAACAUAUUCUAGAGCUCUUUUUAAACGAAUAUAUUUCUAUGGAAAUUGAACAUAGUCAACUUAGUUUUUGGAAUUGGCUUUAUAGAGAGUUUGUAUGAGCAGUUAGGAAGCACCCCACUACGGGAGAAUACAAUCCUAGUCCGUUCGUUUAUGGAACGUAGGGCAUGAAGGCAAUAAUGUCAUACAAUGACAUUGUUGUAACAUUGUGAGGAUAAUGAGUAGUCAUGCAUAAUGUUGAGAAGAUGACAAUAGAGAUGUUAGCUUCACUACGAAUCAAACGAAGUGACAUUUGAAGGCGAUAGUUAUGAAAAUUGUGAUUCCUUGACCAAAAGUUAUUUAUUUCUAUCACUUGGAAUUAUGUUACUAAAUUUAUUAUAAAAGGGAUAUGCUCGGUAAGUAGCCAACCAUCCAAUUCACCCUGAAGCGUCCAAUCCUCGAAAGGACAACUUGCGAGCUAUUUGAACGCACAAAAUCUGCAAUCCUUAGAGGCCAUGGGGACACCUAUGGUCCUACUUAAGCACCUCCAGUGAGCGGUAGAGUACUUGGAUAGCGUCGGGAACCUAUCGGGUGGUGUUAGGACCUAGUUGCCUUCAUUGACACCUAAAAGGGGUUUGAAGUUAUCAAUAGAGCAUUGCUAUGCUUUGAGGGCUGCGAGAAGGAUAUGGUUACACCUUUACGCUAAAUGAGUUAUUGAAAAAAUAACUUAAAAGGGCUCAUAUGCUAGCUUGUGUUCGUUGACUGGGUGUACUAGUCUUGUCGCCUGGGUCUGUUGGCUAGAAACGCAUCCUGGAUGAUGCCGCAUAGUUGGGUGAAUGGGACACGAUUCUUAUAUAAUGGGAGUCCUUAUGCAUGAAUGUGCUUCAAACUACCCAUGGACUAUUAGAUGACCCCACGUGGCAAGACAUUGACUAAAGGCAUUGGACAUGCAUCAAGCUAAAAUGCCUAUAAGAUAAUAAGAAGUGACGAUCACAAGAGUAACGUUUUUGGACAUGCGAGCAAUCUUCGCUAAUUUGGAUGGAACUAGGAAGUUCCUUUCUGUGAAGUAUUCUUCGAAAGAACUAUAUGUUGUGCAUCAGCAUUUGGGCAAGCUAGAUAAGUCGGGACCAACAGAUUGGGUGCAUUGAUGAUGAUGUGCAUUGUGAAUAGUUGAACUUGGCACCUAGUGCAGUGGAGGGAUGCAUUUAGGUGCUUACAAGCUAGCAAGUGUUUUGGGUAGAAAUGCAACUGCUCAUGUCUUAUGAUGGAAGAAGGCAAAAGAAAGAUGAGUGGUGUAAGAUUACUACAACACAUAUGAAAAAUAGGUCCAUUGCAAGAUUCAAAGAGCCGGUCCAUGACACUGCGACUCAAGAUGGAGAUUCAUCCACUUUAGACAACAAUGCUAAUUUUUUUUCCCUUGGGGAGCAUCUAGAACUUUGCUUUCCUAGCUAUUGAUAUUCAAUCGACCACAACUUCUCAUAGGAAACUUGAGAUUGUGAUUUGUAAAAAUCUUCAUCAAAUUAUCUUUUGAAUGGUAUAUCAUUUGACUUCGUGAAGAAAUUUAUAUCAAACUUGGUUUCAUAGUUUCCCCACAUGCUCCACCUAUUGGUCCUCCUUCUUGCUUUGAUUUAGGUCCCAAUUUUAAUCCUCAAUAUCCCUCCAAAACAUUUUUCUUUUCAAUUUUCCUUCCUUUCUUGUCCUCCGUUGUUCUGUUUUUGAUCUUCACUUUAAAAUCUCAAGUUCUUUUCAUUUUCUUGCCAAUUUUACCAAUAUAACUUAAGUUCAGAAAUUUGUCUUACAAUAAUGAAAAUGAGCUAAAAAUCAGUAAACAAUAAACUCCAACGCAAAUUAAAGACCUUCCUUAGGAACAUACAUAAUUUUAAUAAUCAUUUUAUUCAAUUGAUAAUUGGUAAUACAAUGGACCCAAGGGCGGAUCUAGGCAUGGGCUAGCUCGGACUACGGCCCGUGCUCCCCCAAGCCCAGAUCCAGUUAGUCCACCUUUGUUGUGUAUUUUUUUCAUUAACAAAUUAAUGUGUCCAAUCAAACAAAAUGAGUAAUUGACCCCAACUUCAAUUUUUUUGGCCCAAACAAACUUUAAAUUUUAUUACCCAUUUAUAACCCAAACUCAAACUCAAACUAAAACCUUAAAACUUAUUCUAUUUCCCUCUCCUCUCCUCUCCUCUCCAGUCUCCUUCAUUAGGCCCUAGCAAGUUAGCAACGGCCAUUCAAUUCCUCUCCAAUACUUCAACCCCGCAAGUGGUAACUGGUAAGUAUUUUCAAUUUUAGUGUUUAGCUUCUUAUACUUUAAACUUGGACCUUUUUAUAUAUAUUUUUUGUUGAGAUUGAUUCUUGUUGAGUGUGGGUUUUUGAAAAGUAGAAUUUUUGUGUUUCUACUGGACAAACGGAUGAGGGGCAACUGGAAACCAAGGAAGCCUAAGGUGGAUCUAUAGAACUGGGGAGCCAGAUACUUACACAUUUCUUCAAGCAGAUCCUAUGUUAUGAAAUCUAAGGAUUUUUGGGAUUUCUGUUUUGCAUUCACAUGGUUUUGAAAUAUCUACUGCAGGUAGACAAAAGGGUCCAUUCAAGUGCAACAAUUCUGGGAAUUUCACACUUUCGAUAACUUCAAGAUUGUUAAGGAUUUUCUAAUGUCCGAAAUACUAAUUUCUUUCCUUUUCGUUUGUGGGUUUUGAAGGGUUCUUUACUUUUGGCCUGUUUUGGCCUUCUUUUUUCAGCUUUUAAUAAAUCAAAAACUUGCUUAUAAUUUGAAAGUAUUUUUGAGGGUUUAGGGUUCUGUAGUACUUUUGUUUAAGUUUGUUUGUAGAGUUUUUAACUUCUUCAGUCUAGUUGGUACUUUCUUUUGUCAUUUUCUUUACCGAUUGGAGUUUUCUAUCUGAAAACAUCUGGUUAAGUUCUUGAAUUCAAACCGAAUGCUGAGUCGAGAUGACUUGGAAUUACUAUGUCGCGAGUUGAGGUGGCAAUCCAUUAGUUUGAAUAUUUUUUCAUAUUGUUGAAGGGAUUUUUAAAUUUUAGCCCAUGCGCCAAAAAUCCUAGAUCUGCCUCUGACCAAGAGCGAAUCUAGGCAUGGGCUAGCUCGAACUACAGCCCGUGCUCGCCCAAGCUCGGAUCCAAUUAGUCUACCUUUUUUGUUUUGUUUUGUUUUUUUUUUUUUUAAACAAAUUAAUGAGUUCAAUCCAACAAAAUGAGUAAUUGACCCAACUCCAAUUUUUUUUGCCCAAACAAAAUUUAAAUUUUAUUACCCAGUUAUAACCCAAACUCAAACUCAAACCCAAACCUUAAAACUUAUUCUAUUUUCCUCUCAUCUCCUCUCCAAUCUCCUCCAUUAGGCUCUAGCAAGUUAGCAACGGCCAUUCAAUUCCUCACCAAGACUUCAACCCCACAAGUGGUAACUGGUAAGUAUUUUCAAUUUCCGUGUUUAGCUUCGUAUAUUUAAAACUUGGACCUUUUUAUAUAUAUAUUUUUGUUAAGAUUGAUUAUUGUUGAGUGUGGGUUUUUGAAAAAUAGAAUUUUUGUGUUUUUACUAGGUAAACGGGGGAGGGGCAGCCAGCAACCAAGGAAGCCGAAGGUGGAAUUGCCUGGGAGCCAGAUACUUAUGCAUUUCUUCAAAUGAAUCAUAUGUCAUGAAAUCAUAGGAUUUUUGGGGAUUUCUGUUUUGCAUUCACAUGGGUCCAUUUUGGUGCAACAAUUCUGGGAAUUUCACACUUUCGAUAACUUCAAGAUUGUUAAGGAUUUUCUAGCGUCAAAAAUACUAAUUUCUUUUCUUUUUCGUUUGUGGGUUUUGAAGGGUUCUUUACUUUUGGCCUGUUUUGACCUUUUUUCAGCUUUUAAUCAAUCAAAAACUUGUUUAUAAUUCGAAAGUAUUUUCGAGGGUUUAGGGUUCUGCAGUACUUUUGGUUUAAGUUUGUUUGCAGAGUUUUUAACUUCUUCGGUCCAGUUGGUACUUUCUUUUGUUAUUUUCUUUAGUGAUUGGAGUUUUCUUUCUGAAAACAUCUGGUUAAGUUCUUGAAUUCAAACCGAGUGCUAAGUCGAGAUGACUUGGAAUUACUAUAUCGCGAGUUGAGAUGGCAAUCCAUUAGUUUGAAUCUUUUUUCAUAUUGUUGAAGGGAUUUUUAAAUUUUAGCUCGUACGCCAAAAAUUCCUGGAUCCGCCUCUGAUUAUGGAACUACAAUGAAAUGUGAAUUUCCAAACUGUGUUUCUGUGAUAGUUUUAAGGGUCCCUCCACAAAAGGAUCACAUCAAGGCUUAAACAACUACUUAUCUAAUCUGAAUUGCAUUUAGAAAAUUUGUUACAUAAUAGAUAAUGUCCGUAAAAAAAUCGUCUUUGAUAUGAUAUUAAAGGGUCUCUAUCUAGAUGACGUGACAACAAAUAGACAUUUUGAAAUUAUUCAUCUAGACAUAGAUAGACAUGAAUCAUUAUCACUAUAAUGACUCGAAAUCUAUGCCCCAAAUGUUACUCAAUUAAUCUUAUAUAUGUAAGAAAAGUGGAUUUACUCAUUUUGUAAUAUAGAAACAUUUGAAAAAUUUUGAGGGAAUAAAAUAAGUUAUUUUAUUGUCUCAUUAAAAUGUCAAUCAAUAUAAUCCACUACUGAAAUGUAAAUUUAUCGAUUUUCAAAAUAAAAUUCUAAAUACAAAUUGAUUUUAAACUAAAUACUAAAUAUUGAAUAAAAAUAAAAUUCUUGAUCUAGCGAUACGAACCUUCUCAGCAGUCUCAACUUCCAACUCCGAUCCAUCAAGUAUCUAUAAAAAUAAUUUAGAAUAUAGAAUGAGUAUACGAAUACACUCAGUAACAAAUUCAUGUCAGUAUUUUCACAAUGUAAUACAAACAGCAAGUAAAAUACGCACAUCACAUAAUUUCGUUAAAACUCGUAUUUCCAAUCAUUAGGAUUAUUAGUACAAAGUCACUAUUAAACGUUAAAAUUGUUAAAUUAUCCUAAAAUAUCAAAACUUGCAUUUAUGCCUCAGGAUAUAUGUUGUACGUAUUUUAUGGGUAUUACAAUAGCAUGGAGUCAAAGUCUAUCUAUUCGUCCAGGCAAACUGCAAUAUGUGGAACGCACAGUUGAUAGAUACCUGCCUUCUUCCACACGUAAACUGUAUUAAGGAACUUACAAGUCUUUGUAGCGUUUCGUUUCUGCUUUUUGACGAAAUGAAGUCUUGGUCUCCGUGAGCGACUUUGGCGGAAAUAGAUAGCUACAGCGUUUUCUUCAGCAGGUGGUCUGAAUUAAACCCUAAGGAACAUUGCGGAAAAAGAUGUAUUUAAAGAGACGACGCCAUGGAAAAAUACUCCAUUCGAUCACUGAAUAAAAAUGUCAAAAUCGAAGCAAACCCAUGUAGGAAAACCCAGCCUAGAAUGUCUAGGAGAGGACCUCAUUCAGAAUAUACUAUGCCGGCUGCCGGCCUCAGCCUUCGCAUCGGCGGCGUGCGUUAGCCGCUACUGGAAUUCUACAUGUAAUCGCAUCCUAUUUUCUUCCCCAAAGCUCUCAUCGGCCGUUUCUUUCAACCCUUCACUUGAGGUACUGUAACUCGAAUAGUGAUAAGUUUUUUACUGAUGGCAUUUUGGGAGCUGUGUAUUUUAGUAGGAUUAAAAUCUGGCGAAAUGCUUGGUUUUGAACAGAAGAUUAGUAUUAGUAAACGAAACUCACAUCAUUUUCCUUGCAUAUAUUUUAUUAUUAUUCUAAUUACUCAAAUUGACUGUUGUGGUCCUUUUUUUUUUUGGGAUGUGCUAUAUGCACAUAUCCUGUGCACAGGGUCCACCCCCUUGUGAGACACCCUGUGCACAGGGGUCUGUGCAAGAAGGGUUUCCCCUUUUUUUUUUUUUUUUAUUUCUAUAAUAUGCCUGUUGUUGACUUGGGAUCCAUUUGUUUAAUGGGAAAUGAGUUCUUGAGGAAUUUCAAGUUACCAGUGUGAAAAGCCCAGAAACAAACACAAUCGAUUUCUCAAACUAGAAAUUAAAGUGCAGAAAUGAAAAUCAACACAAACGAAUUUAUCCGGCCGAAGUCCAAAGGUUCAACGAUCCUCCUUUUAACUCUUAAUCCCCCGUUGAAUAUGUAAGUGUUAUACCCUAGAUCUAAUCAACUUUAGAUAUAAAUACUUUUAAUAUAUAAUAUAAUUGAUGCAAUUUUAUGGUAUUAUUUAAUUAAUAUUCAAUUAAAUUAAAUAAUAGAGUCCGUAAAUUUAAGUUUUAAUAAUUACAUAUGAUUGAAUCUUAGAUCAUCUAUGGUCAUAAGUAAUAACGAGAUACGAAUAUCGUUAUUACUGAUGUACUAUCACCUGUGGUAUUUCUUAUUUGCGAAGUAGUUGAUUUUAUAAGUUAAAGUGUGAUGAUACUUAAAUGAACACAUGAAUAAUUUGUUAUAAAAUAAAGCAUUGAAGGCCCGUCGAAGAGAUUUCACAUGGAUAACUAUUUAAGUGCCAAUGGCUAAUAUCUAAGGUUUGGUAGUGGAAUUGGCCCUUUAACGUGAUGUCAUCAUCGUGCCUUAUAUGAUGACAGUUAUACUUUGGUGAUGUUGAAUGUUGUUCUGUCAAGGGCCGCUAAUACAGUAUCGUUCGAAUAUGUCAAGAAUCAUAUAAAGGUUGUGAAUAAUCAAUAGAUAAUUUGUCACUUUUAAAUAGUAAGAGAUUAUGAUCUACAUUUCGUUAGUUAAAUUGAUAACGAAAUCUUGGACAAUGUGUACUCAUAAGUCGAAAAGAAAUUUUCGAAUUAUAUCAACUUAAUAGUGGAAUGAAAUAUACUAUCAAUAAUUGAGAUUGACACAUAUCUAUAUCUCAUAAUCGAUCGGAUCAUAUUGACGAAAUGAUUAUAGUUUUAAGGUAAACAAACAAGUUUGAUUUUGUCAUAUUACGUGAUAUUUUUCGUCACAUAUAUUACCUUGACACAUUGCUAGAUAUCAAUUUAGGACAACAAAUGUGAAUUGGUGAUAAAUUAAAAAAAAGUAUUUUAACUUAUCGAUUUUGAUUAGAUCAAAACAAUAAUUUACAUCCUUAGGCAUUGUGAUUGGAACCUAAUGGAUCAUACACAAAAGGAGAAUUAGAAGAAUGAGAUUACCAAUUAAUUAAUUGACAAGUGUUGGAUAAUUAAUUAAUUGAAUUGCUAGUUAAUAAGCCCGAAUUAAUUAAAUAUAUUAAUUAAUUUAUGGAUCAAAUUUAAUUAAUUGAAUUAAUUAAAUAUUGAAUCGAAUUAAGUUAAGAGACGGGCCAAGCUCGUUUAGACUUAUAUUAAUAGGUUGCUAAGGUCUGAAAAACUGUAGAGAAUACAAUUAUUCUUGCUAGCACAAGAAAAGAAAACCUUAGUCCUCUGUGUGAAUUUCUAUUGGAGGCUGAACAAUUAGGCAGAUGUGGAUUGCAGAUUGUUAUUGUUCGUGUUCGAAGAUCAGUAAAGGAGUUUGCAAAAUUUAUUAAAUGUAUUAUUCUAUCACAGUUUUUAUCCAUGCACAAAGAAAAUCCUUGAUAGGAAUUGAAAUUUAUUUUAUUUUCUGCUAUGCAAGAUUAAGUAAAUUUCCAAUAAAGUAUCCAUAUAAGAUGGAUAAUGUUCGGUUACACUAUAAAGCCCCAAAACGGCAAUGAAGGUUUCAAAGUUCAACUGGUACAAUUUGUAGUAUCAAGAAUUUAUCUUCUCACAACAAAAACCGCAAAUCUACUCAAGAAUCACAGAAGAAACCCUUAAAUUAUCACUCUGAAUUCUUCACAGCAUAAUAACCAUAUCGAUCUUAUGGAUUUCACUCAGAAAUACAAGAAUAAGAGGAAGUAAACGAUUUAAUCUCAAUCUCAAACGAGAUUUUUAAAAGAUUAGAUGAAGACAAGUAUCAAGAUCUGGUGCAAGCCAUCCCCUAACAAAGUUGCAAAUUUAAAAACACGAGUAAAGUCAAAUUUUGGUGUCAAAAAAUUCACACGUGCACAAUACUCAACGGAGAGAUUUAUUUUGCCUUCUCUGCAUAUUAGCUUUUAUGGAAAAUUUGAACUAACUAGAGAAUUUCAACUUUUUAAUUGUUCCGCACUCCCAUCAAACAAAUUUACAUAUACUUCGGAUAGGAGUUGUGUUAUUUCAAAACAUAUGUAAUAAAAAUCAAUAUUCUGUUUCAACAGUUUCAACUUUAUCUUGGCUCUUGAUUCAAAUUUUGUGCUGAUGAUUGUAGGAAGCUGUGAAUGAAGUUAUAAAUAAAGUUUUAUCUAAGCCCAUACGACCGCAUUUUGCCCUGGCCUCUAUUGGCUCCUCAUUUAGCUUGGAAGACGCUUACCAACUCGUAUGAUCUCUUUUGUAAUUACAUAAAUGUGCAUACACGUUCGUCACUUCAUUGCAAGCCAGAUACUCAGUGGAAGUUAAUGUUCUGCAGAUUACUGAAAGCUUUGCUCCAGAGAUUCCUGUAAUUGUCAAUUGUCCGGAGGGAAUUAUUGGGAGAGAUGCACUUACAGAUGAGUUUUUGGAGGUAAUAUCUGAUUAUUAUGGAUACUUUUCAAAUGAAACCUUCAUGCAAAAAAGUUCAAAGAUUUUGGACUCAAAUUUUUUUUAUUGUUCUAGGUUCAACGGAAAGUAGCUGAGGGUGAAGAUCAUGGUGGGGCUUCACCCGAUCAGAAUGUGAACCAAGGCAUCAUAUUGAUAGUUGGUUUUUUACCAGGAUUAAAGGCCCAUAUAUUGCCCUUGUUUUAUCAAGAGAAGGUAAAUCCAAUGUAUAUAGGUCGGGGAUUUCAUGUCGAUAUCUAUAUGAACUGUUUCCAGAUAAUUUGCAUUGUUCAUACACUAUCAGGUUUCGGGACAGCUCUUCUUUGUUGUUUGAGAGUUUAAAAAUUAUAAUGUCUGAUUCCUACUGUGGUAUAGAGCAACGAGUAAUUUGUUUCUUUUUAUAUAUUUCAAUAUUUUACUUUUGGCAUAAUCAAUGCCAGUAUCAGGCACUUCUGAUUGAUGAUUUUGUGACGGGCAUCAAGGAAUACACCUCUUCUGUUUCAG
rnacentral:lncRNA from 1 species